ensembl:lncRNA
GGCGUCCGGAGGAGCCGGCUCGGAGGGGCUGGGCUGGGCCGCCCCCGCCUCGCCCCCGCCUCCCCGGCCUCGCCGCUCCGUCGCCUCCUGGGACUGCGGCCCACGCGCCCCGCCCGCCCCGCUGAGGUGGAACCCGAGGCCGGAGCUUAGCGCCCAGUAACAGAGAGGUAUUGAGACGUCCUCGGACUGAAAGAACGGUGAGACUCAACGAAUCUCCCCGCACCCCUGGCCCUUUUCCCUCGGGCUUUCACAGCUUCCUCCUAAAGUGGAAAAAUGGGAAAGACUUGGAGGCUGCCAAGCCAAAGUGGAAACCUCGGUACCUGUGAAAUUAAAGCAACAUCCUAAUGCCCGGAUUCUUUUAAUAGAAGAUGUUCAGAGGAACUUUAUUCUCUCCUACUCACCCUGCUAACAUUCACAGAAGGUCUAGAUGUUCAGGUAUCUCUGAAUUAUUCGUCAAGUUGCUGCCACGAAUUCUGUAGCAGCAGGAGGACUGAAAGAGAAGUCAUCUUUGCCGGGGUUGUAGUAAACGAACAUGUUUCCAGCUUUCAGAGACAAGUUUGGGAAGCUGCAGAUACCUCAGACAGUUUUCUUGCCUCUGCUGGACAGGGUGCGGAGAGCAGAGGGAGGGGAAGAGAAGCCAGCGCUUUCUUAACCCCAUUGUCUAAGCAGAGUAGAAUGUACUCGGGUCAGAAGUGCAAUUCAUGUAUACCAAAACAUUCCCCCAUUCCUAUCCUUCCCAUGUCAGGUCUCACCCAAAGGAACGAAUAUUUAUCCAACUUAUCCCCUGUUCUAAACGCCACAGGACGAAGCUCACCGACCCAAACUAUUUUACUCACACCCUAGUCUUACCCACGUCCCACUCUUCCCCGAUUCCCCAGAUUUUCUCAUUGCUCAGCAAAAUCCCCUUUGUUUCAAGUCCUGUGACUAUUUCCUUAGCAUUCUUGCCAUAGCUGAAACCUACUGCUUCCCCCUUUAGUCCCUCUCUAGUCUCCUCUCCUCAGUCUACUCUUGGGAAGUUGCUGUAAUUUAGAUUAAUAAAUUUGGAAAGAAUAAUUAUGCCUGCUUGCUGGGUUUGUCCAUUUUCCUCCUAAAAGGGAACUUCUGGAAGGAAGGUUUAUGACUAGUUACUGUGCCAGGCAGGGCAAGUAUUAGGAGGAAGAUUCAAGCAAUAACAUAUUUCACUAUUUUUGCUACUUGUAUUGUUAAUUCUCAUUAGACAACUCAGUGUAUGUUGCUGUAUAUGGAAAAUUAUGUGUAGGAAAAUUAUGUUCAUCACCUUAACAUUUCCAAGAUUCACACUUUUCAAAUGUAAACUGAAGCAGUUAGACUAGAUCUCUGAA